UGGGAUUCAGCUCUACAUUGAUGUUUAUGUUACAUUCAAUUAAAAAUAUGCUAAUGUGUUGUGUUGCUCCUCAGGCUCUGUGGGCUCCUCCUCCCCCCUCGUGCUGUUGGCUCAGUCUGGGGACCUGCAGAUAACCACAGUCCAUCUGGGGGAGUAUAAAAGCUGAGGAGCUGCAUUUCUGGGCCUCUCUGCUACUUUUGCUGCCUGCCCACACCCAGAUGUGCAUGAGGCACUGACUUACUGAACAUGGCUUCGAGUCGAACCAGACAGCUGAUGAAGCUGUCAAAGUCGAUGUUCAUGUUCUCGUUUGCGUAGCGCAUGGUGAUGAUGUCGUACAGCUGGUUGUUGAGACGGAAGCCUGAGCGGGACACAAGACACAUGACUGUACAGUGACAAGAACAUUUAGAAGAUGUCUGAACUCCUGAAGAUUGAGUCGACCUGUCCCAUCCAUCUGAACAGAAGCAGUUAAGAGAAUCUUGAAACAUAUUAGUCAAUGUCCACUCAGAAAACAACUGGCUUCAUAUUCCAGUGUUGUUCCAUGAGUCUAAAACUGACUUUCAGUUAAAACAUAAUUUCAGUGUCAUGUUGGGCACGUCUCAGCUAAGUGGAUUAUUUAACAAUUUAGUGUGUUCUCCAUCAUUUCAGUUUUAAUUUAGGUGAAAUAUGUGGUAAAAUGGAGCCUAGGCCCUGUGAGCAUCCAUCACAGACCCUGCCAAUGGGUCUCGGCAGGUUGUGUCUCUUACAGACAACACAGCCAGCCCGAUGCACUCGAUACAAAGGAUACGUCCAUCAGAGCAAUCAUGCUCCUGCAGCUCUCCAGACUGAAGCCCUCUGUGUUCAGGUCCUUAUCUGGAGGGAAUACAGAGACAGAGAGAGAGCUGUAAGAUAUUUAAAAUGGGCAAAAAAUUUCAGUAUCCUUCAAUUAUGUUUCAUGUUUGAGGCCUUGGAUUUAAGUCAUUGUAGACUAACAAUACUCAAGCUGCAUCAACCCCAACAGCAGCCGAUGUGAACUAAAAAGAAAAAUAGAGUAUUUAAAUUAAUUGGAGGAACUUUUCACAAGAUAUUAAAAAGAGUUACAGAUAAGUAUAUUUUGAGAUGUGUUUCACUGAUUGACAGGUGUCUCAUCUUAUCGCACUCGUUCCACUGCAGCUUGUCGUAGGCUCAACCUUGUUGCACAAAUUUGGAUUCUCUGGUUCUGACAACUGAUGAAAAUCACUAAAUGUUUUUGAUUAGUUUUUUAGGUAGUCUGUGACAGCAUUGUUUUGAUGUGCAUUGCUUGGUCAAGAGGUUUAAAUUUAAAGCUGGAGUUAACUGGACUCACGUUUGGUGAUCACUCUGUUGAGAACAUUUUUCAGUUCGUUGGCUGUGAUUUCCAUGUCCUGAGAAAGAAACAGAAGAGAGAGGAGAUAAGAAUUUUAAUAUAUCUUCAUAUGUGUCAAACAUUUACAUAAACAGCCCAUGGCUGAAUUGAGUAUUUUUCUUUUCAUUUUUUAAUACUUAGGACCACAAGAACGCCUGUUAUUAGACACCAAACUCACUGGUAAAGUGGUGAAAAGUCUUAUUUCCUGUGAUUGCUUUAGUACUGUCCCUCAUGACAGUAGUAAAGCACGUCACUGGUUCAUACUGAGAAGAAGCUCUGUCCAUCCUGUACUCACAUCUCCAGCUAUCUCCUGAAAAAUAGUCCUGAACUGCUGAUCCUCCUCGCUCUCUUCCCCCGCUGAGGCUGGCGCCGGCUGAGGCAUCAUGGAGCCACAAAGUAGAAGGAAAUAAAUGAGACAAGAGGAAGAAGAUAUGAGAGGAAAAAUGUGGAGAUCGCGUCUGUGAAAAACUUUCUGUCAUUCGCCUCGGUCCAUAUCAUUUACCAUUUAGCUAAUAGUGAUAAUGAUACUUGAAGGACUAGUUUUUAACAGUUUUUAAUCUGACUACGUUCCCCAUAUGGAAAGAAAGAAAAUAAAGACACUUACCACUGGAUGGUCAGCCUCGAUCCUGUUCUCUAUCUCCCUGGAUGAAGACGAACAAACAGCAGUCACGAUGGUGACAAUAACAUCUCAUCUGGGCCAUAAGCCUGUACAGUCAUGUGUACUACAGCGAAUCAUCUUAUCCUUACCGAUUAUUAAACAAAUGCCCGAAUAAGUUUAACAAGUCUAUGACACCAUUUCUAAAGGCUUACAGUCCCAUACUCACAUUGGACCAAAAUGGCAAAAAAAAGAUUCCACAAUGUCUUAAAGAAGCUGUGAAUAAAAUGUGUUAGUUCAGUACCACCUGUUGCUGCCUCCAGUGACAGUAUUUUCUCUUGAUUGUUCUUAUUUUGGGCAAUCCUGGUCAAAGGAGGCGCCAUCUCCUGGCUUUUAGAAUUUCUAUUAGAUGGGUUUUAACAUCAUCCUGCAGUUGAAAGUGUGACAUAACUGGGCCAAAAUGUACUUGCAAAUAAUUGUUUUUUAACCUAUGUGAAGGCAGAUGGGACACUUAAAGCAUGAGGAAGUUGUCAAUUAAUAACUGAUACCAAUCUGGUAUUGAAGGAGGUUAAAACUAAUAGUAGUAAUAUUGUUUUAUUUGCAAUAAAUGACCCAUGUAUUUUCUAAAAGUGAAAGCCCAUCACAGGGAUCUGUUUGCUGUGCACAUCCAUCCAUCCAUCCAUCCCACAGCCUGAUUCACAGCCAGGUCUCGGUCCAUCAGAGUGCGGGCCGGCUCUGCAUGCUGUCUGGUCCUCCAGGGCAGCAGGGGGGUGGGGGUUGUGGGUGGAUGUUUGUUGAGGCUUGAGUAUGCAGUAUUGAAUAUUUUGAAAGUUUACCAGAUCACGCCCAAAUCUGAAGUCGCUUGUCCUAAAAAAGAUUCCAUAACAGCUUCGAACUGGGGCCGAUUUCUUCCAACUCUACAAAUCAAAUUGUCGUUAAAAUUGUUUGUUCUUGGUGGUUUGUGUCCCACCCACCAAGCACCCCGACAAAACCCCACCCUCAUUAACAAAAACACAAACCUGCACUUUCAAAUGCACAAAGAGGGUAGAUAAAUCACUAUUAACCUGGUAUAUCUUAGGCUAAAUCAAUCCUCCUGCUGCUACAUUAAAUAUAAA